rnacentral:rRNA from 1 species
UACGAAGGGGGCUAGCGUUGCUCGGAAUCACUGGGCGUAAAGGGCGCGUAGGCGGAUAUUUAAGUCGGGGGUGAAAGCCCGGGGCUCAACCCCGGAAUUGCCUCCGAUACUGGGUAUCUCGAGACCGGAAGAGGUAAGUGGAACUGCGAGUGUAGAGGUGAAAUUCGUAGAUAUUCGCAAGAACACCAGUGGCGAAGGCGGCUUACUGGUCCGGUUCUGACGCUGAGGCGCGAAAGCGUGGGGAGCAAACAGG